rnacentral:ribozyme from 13 species
AUCCUUCGUUUUUUUCCCUUUUUUUUUUCUUCUGCUUUUCUGUAGUAAGCUAACCUUCAAGCAACUUUCAAAACGGAGGUGCAAAAUACUAAGGAACUUCUAGGCUGUACCUUAAGUUCCUGCAAUGCUCGACAAUGAAUUGAAAGAUGAUGAAGGGUUGAUUGUUGUUUAAUCAUGUUGUAGCUGCUUGGAAGGGAAAAAAGGAA